rnacentral:rRNA from 1 species
GAUGAACGCUGGCGGCGUGCCUAAUACAUGCAAGUCGAGCGAACGGACGAGAAGCUUGCUUCUCUGAUGUUAUCGGCGGACGGGUGAGUAACACGUGGAUAACCUACCUAUAAGACUGGGAUAACUUCGGGAAACCGGAGCUAAUACCGGAUGAUAUUUUGAACCGCAUGGUUCAAAAGUGAAAGACGGUCUUGCUGUCACUUAUAGAUGGAUCCGCGCUGCAUUAGCUAGUUGGUAAGGUAACGGCUUACCAAGGCAACGAUGCAUAGCCGACCUGAGAGGGUGAUCGGCCACACUGGAACUGAGACACGGUCCAGACUCCUACGGGAGGCAGCAGUAGGGAAUCUUCCGCAAUGGGCGAAAGCCUGACGGAGCAACGCCGCGUGAGUGAUGAAGGUCUUCGGAUCGUAAAACUCUGUUAUUAGGGAAGAACAUAUGUGUAAGUAACUGUGCACAUCUUGACGGUACCUAAUCAGAAAGCCACGGCUAACUACGUG